GCGUUUAUUAACGAGUGGGAACUACCAACAUGGCCGCCAUCAAUUCAAGUGGGGGUAACCGCUGGAAUGUUCUUGGCUUCAAUUUUACUAAAAGAGAUGCGCUAUCUAGUGUAUAUAAGAUAUCUAUGCCACAGAGCAAAGAGUUUUUAUUGUGUUAAAUUAUACGCUCAAAGUACAUGCAUAAAAUUCGAUUCAAUUGUAUUUAUACGCAUCCAUAGGUUCAGCAUACAGGGUCUCCAAAAAAAAUCCCCCUUUAGAAAUCACUCUUGUGCGUUAUCAUACCUUUGUGAAUUGAAUUGAAUUGUACAUGAACGGCAGGCCUUAAAAUAUCUUUUACAGGGCCGUCUGACAAAAUGUCCGAUGACGUUGAGUUUGGGUCGGACAUAUGUCCGAUGACCUUCAGUUCAGUUUUGACUCGGA